CUUCUUUUAAUCUAUAAUUUUUUAUUGGUCGACAGUACAUAAAAAUUAGAAAUAUUUUUAAAGUAUAAUAUUCAAGGUGAACAGUAAUAAUGUUCCAACAUUACGCAAUAUUUUUAUACGUUGCAUUAUUUUCUUAGGACGUGGCAUUCAGAUUGAAACAAAUAAAGUUAGCUGAUUGUUCUUUUGUUUUAAAUAUACAAAUAAGUUCGACGGCGAGACGGACAUUGAAAAAAAACAGAAAACAGUUAAUACAACCUAUCAUUUAUCAAUCAUGAUCAGAAUAGCAAUAAUCUGCUUACUAAUUUCAAUGACCAGAAGCCGAAAAUGCGAGUUCAGUAUUGAGGAGGUGAAUGAAUUAAAACAAGCUUUUGUUGAUGCGGGUAAGCAAAUGGAAAUAGAAUCUCGAGGUGGAAGGAAAAAUGCGGCAAUUGUCAUAGGAACCGCAAUGAGUGGAAAAAGUACACUAAUUAAUUACUUAAUAGGCAAUCAAAUGGAAGGUUACAGAGGGUCUAGUCGAUAUGAUCGAAUAAUAAUAAGAAAAUUUGACGUAAAUUCUACAGGACCAGAAAUUAGUAGUGGAUUAUUGCCAGUGACUAAUAUUCCCUCAAAAUGGAACUCAAAAAGGACAGAAUUACAGAAUUUGACAAUCUGGAAUACUCCUGGAUUUCAGGACAUUAGAGGCCCACUUCAAGAUUUAAAAAAUUCUUUUUAUCUGUACCGUUUGACAAGAAGAAUGAAAUCUGUAAAAUUUAUUUUAGUUGUUAACUUCUAUGACAUUGAAAGUGAUAUCAACGAAAAUUUUAUUAGUCUUUUAAAUAAUCUUGAAAAAUUUUUCAAUGGCAAGUUUAAAAAUUUUUUUUCAAGUAUAUCAGUAAUUUUCUCAAAAGCACCUUACAAUUUUCGUGAAUUUCCAAUCCGUUAUGAAUACAUAAACAACAAAUUAAACAAUUUAUUAUCACAAUCAAGAACUGAAUUUAAUCUAUCUAAUGAUUCAAAAGACUUUAUACAACAUGUAGUAAAUCAUAACAAGCAAGUUGCCUUCUUUAGGAACGCAGAAGUCAUAGGUAAAGUGAAUUCUUCUAUCGAUGAAAAUAUUAUUCAAGCUAUUAGAAACACCAGAAGCAUAAACAAGAAAUCUCUCCAGGAUGUAUCUUUCUCAUUUUCAGCAGGAGCAGAAGUUUGCUUGCGUGAUACCGAAGAUUUAUUGUUUCAAAAUUCAGAUAUAAAAAAAUUAAAUGUUAGAAUAAAGAAAUUCUUCAUUGAAAAGUCAAAUUAUUUGUUGAAAAUCGGAAACCGUGACAUAAAUAAAUUAAAUGAAUAUAAAAUCUAUUUAAGUAAAAUGGGCGAAAAUAUUAGUCCUGCUUUAAAUAAAAAUUCUGAUAUACAGGUUAAAAUUCAAAGCUUGAAAGGAAUUGAUUAUAGUUUGCAAAAAUUAAUUAUGGAGCAAAAUUAUGCGAAUAAAAUAAAACUAAUUAAAUUUAGUGCUUUUAUAUUAAGAUCAAGUAAAAUAUUAAUAUUAAAUUACUUAUUUGAUGCUCUUCUCAAUGUUGCACAUGCAAAAAUCAAGAAAUUAAUUCCAUUAUCUUUACUGCUGAUGAAAAACAUUACAACAAAUACUUAUGAUAAAGUAAUUACAGAUGUGAACAAGUCGUCUCAAAGAAAAAUUAGAGAUUUAUCAGAAAAAACACAAAACCUGGAAAAAUCUGAAACAAAGAAAGGCUUUUGGGAAUUUAUUUUUCAACAAUGUGCAGACGUUAUUUAAGUUUCACCUGGGUUUUAAGCGGCAGCUCGGGGACAUUGAAUACCAACAGAAAAGCGUUACAACUUAUCAUUUAUCAAUCAUGAUCAGAAUAGCAAUAAUCCGCUUAUUAAUUUCAAUGACCAGAAGCCGAAAAUGCGAGUUCAGUAUUGAUGAGGUGAAUGAAUUAAAACAAGCUUUUGUUGAUGCGGAUAAGCAAAUGGAAAUAGAAUCUCGAGGCAGCCAAUUGCUUCUUAUUUCUGCAUAAUUUUUUCAAAUCGUGCGCUAUUGAUAAUUUACACUGCUUAUGGUAGUUUACUUUAGUUGCUAACAGAUGGGCAUUAUUGCUGCAGCAGUUUAGCAAUGACAGUAUCAUUUAUGAAAACAGACUUUUUGGAUGUAACUUUUCUAAGAGUUAUUUUGGUGAUUUUAGUUAAUAGAGUUACACGAAUAAAAUUCUUGUAAAGUGAUUUUUAAUGCAGAAUUUAGUGCUGAAGACGAUGGUGUUAAUGAAAUUGCGAUAUUUUUAAUAUUACGGGUUUUGUGGAUGUUUUCUUAAAAAAGUACUCUUAGGGUUAGGCAGCCAACACUAAAUUUUUCGCCUUUUUGUGUUGACUUUAUUGGUUCUUCUAAAUGUUUUCUCUUUUUUUCCUACUCCAAUACAUUUUAAACUUAACAUUGAAUUUUAGGAACCAUUUUUUAAGAAUAACAAAUUUAUAUUUCCUUAAAAUGUUAAAUUGAAUUUAAUUAAUGUUAUUAUUAUAAUAUAAUUCAAAUGUAAAUUUUUGAAGUUUACCAACAAAAUAAAAGUAAGUCUUGGCUGCCUCGCCCCGUUCUCCUCUACACUAAUUAAUUACUUAAUGGGCAAUCAACUGGCAGGUUACAGAGGGUCUAGUCGAUAUGAUUGAAUAAUAAUAAGAAAAUUUGACGUAAAUUCUACAGGACCAGAAAUUAGUAGUGGAUUAUUGCCAGUGACUAAUAUUCCCUCAAAAUGGAACUCAAAAAGGACAGAAUUACAGAAUUUGACAAUCUGGAAUACUUCUGGAUUUCAGGACAUUAGAGGCCCACUUCAAGAUUUAAAAAAUUCUUUUUAUCUGUACCGUUUGACAAGAAGAAUGAAAUCUGUAAAAUUCAUUUUAGUUGUUAACUUCUAUGACAUUGAAAGUGAUAUCAUAGAAAAUUUUCUAAGUCUUUUGAAGAAUCUGGAAAAGUUUUUCAAUGGCAAGUUUAACAAAAUUUUUCCAAGUAUAUCAGUAAUUUUCUCAAGAGCACCUUACAAUCUCCGUGGAUUUCCAAUCCGUUAUGAAUACAUAAACAACCAAUUAAACAAUUUAUUAUCACAAUCAAGAACUGAAUUUAAUCUAUCUAAAGAUUCAAAAGACUUUAUACAACAUGUAGUAAAUCAUAACAAUCGAGUUGCCUUCUUUAGGAACGCAGAAGUCAUAGGUAAAGUGAAUUCUUCUAUCGAUGAAAAUAUUAUUCAAGCUAUUAGAAACACCAGAAACAUAAACAAUACAUCUCUCUAGGAUGUAGGUUUCUCCUUGUCAGCAAAAACAGAAGUGUGCUUGUAUAGUACCAUGGACGUAUUGUUUUCAAAUACAGAAAUAAAUAUAUUAAAUGAUAGAGUACAGAAAUUCUUCAAUGAAAAGUCAAAUGAUUUGUUGAAUAUCGGAGGCCGUAACAUAGAAAAAUUAAAGGAAACUAAACUCUAUUUUAGAAACAUGCACAGAAACAUUCGUACUAGUGUUAAUAAUAAUGAUUCUGAUAUACAGGUUAAAAUUAAAAUUUUGGAAGGAAUUGAUUUUAGUUUGAAAAAGUUAAUUGUGAAGAAAAAUUAUGCGAAUAAAAUAAAACUAAUUAAAUUUAGUGCUUUUAUAUUAAAGUCAAAUAAAAUAUUAAUAUUAAAUUACGGAUUUGAAGCUCUUGUCAAUGUUGCAUAUACAAAGAUCAAGACAUUAAUUUUAUUAUGUUUGCUGCUGAUGAAAAACAUUACGAAGAAUACUUAUGAUAAAAUAAUUACAGUUGUCAACAUCUCGUCUCGAAAGAAAAUUAGAGAUUUGUCAGAAAAAAUACAAAACCUUAAAAAAUCUGAAACGAAGAGAGGCUUUGGGGAAAUUAUCUAUUAAUACUAUGCAGACGUUAUUAAAGCAUCUCCUGCGUUUUAAAAGCCGUGAAUCGACUGUCUAAAAACGAAUGACAUUCAUUUCUAAAAACAUAAUAAUUAUUUAACUGUUUUCAUGUCAAAAAUUAACAAAAUUCAAUAAUAAAUACAUUACAGCAUUUUUCAGAAA